AGCGAAGGUUGGGUGGACAUUCCACAUUGUGACAAUUUCCCACCAAACCUUAAGAAGUUAACAUUAUGCAGAACACACCUACAAUGGGAAGACAUGAACAUUCUCAGAAAAUUACCUAAUCUUGAGGUGCUCAAACUUAAACAUCAUGCCUUUGACGGACUAACUUGGAUACUAAGCGAUGAAGACGAAGAUGGAUUCUUGAAGCUAAAGUUUUUACUUCUUGAGCACAUGCAUCUGAAGCAAUGGGAAGCAACAAGUUAUCAUUUUCCAAGCCUUGAGCAUUUAGUCCUAACAGAUUGCUAUUCAUUGGAGCAAAUUCCUUUAGACUUUGCAGAGAUUCAAAUACUACAGCUGAUUGAACUACACAAAUGUAUGCUUUCUGUUCUUAUUUCAGCAGAGCAAAUACAAGAGGAGCAACAAAGCUUGGGAAAUGAUGACCUUGUUAUUCGUGUGAACUAUAUACGUGAGUAAACAUUAAUAAAGAAGUUACACAUUUUCAUCUAGAAAAGCAUAAAAAAUCAUUUUCGUUCUUCCUAAUAUAUGUGUGUUCAUUUUUUCAUUUAUUUAUACUAUAAAAGGUGCUAAUUACAAUUGGUUUGCAAGAGUUGAUCAAGGCAUUGCAAAAGAGAAGUCACAACAGCAUAUGCCGCCAAUCGCUGUUUGUUUCUUACCAAAACAUGGUAGAUUAGGGAGUUCUGAGUUCUUGAUCAAGAUGCCCAAACUAAAGUCAAUUCACUAAGCAUUUUCUUUAGAAAGAAAAGAAGUGUACAAAAUGUUUUUUUAUAAGAUUCAAGUUGGAAUAAACAACACAUUAUAGUCAAACUGAGAAAUGGUAUACAAUAUUGAAUUUUCAACUUCACAGAUAAAAUCACUGUUAAAUUUGUCUAGGGUUGUCAAAAUCAAACCCAACCCGUUUAAGUUUGGGCGGGUUAUUGACCCCCCCAUUCAUUAGCUUAACCCAUUAAAAAUUGACUUGAUAUGUAACCCGAAUUGGCUCAUGAGAAAUCUUGUCAAAAUAUUUUUAAAGAACUUUUUAUUCAAUUUGAUAGGUUAUAUAUAGCCAUAAUAGAAUAAAAUAAUUUUAUUAGGUACUAAAAUAGUUUAAAAGAACAAAUAAAUUCAUUAAGCUUAGUAAAAAUUGAGUUGGGUUGAUCUUGACCCGUUACCUAAUCCGUUUUGGCCCGUGCAAAUUUGAGUUGGGUUGAUAUUUAAUUCAUUACCCAAAUUCGAACCAACCCACUCAAUUGCCAUCCCUAAAUUUGUCUUACCUUUCCCUCCCCAAUUACCUCUUUAAAAAUUGGCACAAAUGAAGAAAGUGCAUUGACCCAAAUGAGGAAAUCAGUUGAAAAGCUUGGAUCUUACACUGAAGUAAGAAAAAAUGAGUUCCCUUUUCCUCUUUUAGUGUAAAGUUCAAAUCUUUGUACUGGUAAUCAGUUUUUUUUUUCUUUUGCAGAGUUAUGGAGAGCAACACUUAUGAGGUUCUUGAUUGCAAGAGUAAUUUCGUUCCCCUCAUAGUAAAGUUUCCUUUUUUUUCUCAAUACAUUGCAUUUUUGUUGUUGUUGAUCUUGUUUGUGCUUAGUUAUUUAUUUCAUAAUGUCACCCUUUUCUUGAUUCCAAUUUUUUUUGACAAAGAAAGUCACUUUAUGAAAUAAUAAUUAUUAGUUGAAUGACCAUCUUAGAAAUGAACUCGUUUUUCUAUAAGAAAUAUUCUUGUUGGUUCACUCAAUGAUGCCUUUUCAUCUUUUAUUAUCUUUAAUUUAGUCACUGUUAUGAAGUUUCAAAUUUCACAGAUCAAACUCCAGGAUAUUGUCAUGGAGUAAAAGUAACUUGUAGAAUUUGAAAUUACCUUACAAUAGUUAUUUUUCAAAGAUAUGACCGAAAAAAGGACUUUUCUCCAGUAUGAAUGCAGUUUGGACAAGUUGUAUGACUUUGGGCCUCAUUUGACAAACUAUUCCAAUUUGCUUUUUUGAACAAGUCUUAUAUACCAUUUAAGUCUCAAUGAACAAAUCCAACUAUGUGACUUAUCUUUACAUAGCCUAAAAGUCUUGAAUUCCCAUCCAUUACAUUGGCUUUGGCCUUUGGGCAUCUAAAUCAAGAACGCAGAACUUCCUAGUAUUCCACAUUCAUCCUACUGUCCUAUUUAGUAAGAAACUAACAAACAGCGAUAUGGCGGCGUAUGCUGCUGUGACUUCACUUUUGCAUACCCUGGAUAAUCUAUCUCAAACUCAUACAUCACAUUCUCUUCUUUACAAAAAAGAGCAAACUGAAGUCCUCAGUGACAAGUACACCUUCCUUAAAACCUUUCUUGAGGAUUUUACUAAUAUUUUCCAUGAAGAUAUAAAGAUGAAGCAUCUCGAAAGGAUGAUCCAAGAAGCUGCUAAUGGAGUGGAAGAUACCAUCGACUCACAUGUAUAUGAUAGCUCUGUCGUAGUGCAAAGCAAGCGAGUACGAAGAAAGGCUGAUAUGAUCUUUCAUCAAAACUUGGAAUAUGCAAUUGAGGAAAUUGAUUUGAUACAAAGAGAGGUUAUUGAAAAGAUAAAGGUCAACAAGUUCAACAGCAAAAUCUCUCAUUCAAGAGAAACUUCAUCUCAGAUUCCUAUGGAUCAAAAAGAUAUAAUCGUUGGACUAGAUGAAGAUUUACUAAAGAAUAAAAGAUCGACUCAUCGUGCAAUCAUCAAGCCUCGAAGUUGUCCCCAUUAUAGGGAUGGGUGGUAUUGGCAAGACCACACUGGCUAGAAGAGUUUAUGAUGAUUCCUUGAUUGCAUACCAUUUUUAUGUUCGAGCAUGGACAAAUGUAUCUCAAGAAUUUGACACUAGAGAAAUUUUUCUUGGUAUUCUUUGCUCCAUCAACGAUGAAGUAGAAAGAAACAGUACUACUGAGCAAUUGGCUGAAAGAGUUUAUCGAAGUUUAAAAGGGAGGAAGUAUCUCAUUAUCCUUGAUGAUAUGUGGUCUAUCGAUGCUUGGCAGCAUGUUAGGAGAUCAUUUCCGGAUGAUCAUAAUGGAAGUCGAAUCGUGUUGACCACGAGGCUUGUAGAUGUUGCAUCUUGUGCUAGUUCUGGCAAUUCCCUUCACCAGAUGCGUUUUCUGAGCAUGGAGGAAAGCUGGACUCUUUUACGCGAGAAGGUCUUUGGGAACGGUAGUUACCCUCCGGAAUUGGAGAAAAUUGGGAGAUACAUUGUCCAUCAGUGUCAAGGGUUGCCACUUGCAGUUGUUGCAACUGGUGGACUACUUUCCAAGAUGAGCAAGGAAACAAGUUCUUGGGAAAAUGUUGCAGAAAAGGUAGGAUCACUCAUGACAAGUGACACUAUGGAUUGCUUGAACAUACUCUCUUUGAGCUACAACCACUUGCCUCAAUACUUGAAAACAUGCUUCCUUUAUAUGGGAGUUUUGCUAGAAACUCGUGAGAUCCCGGUCUGGAAGUUAAUAAGGUUAUGGAUUGCUGAGGGGUUCGUCAAGAAAGUUCAACAUGAAAAUCUAGAAGAUGUGGCGGAGGAAAAAUUUGAGGGAGUUGGUUGAUAGAAGUUUGGUUUGGUGGGGAAGCAUACUUCCCUAGGAAAAAUCAAGACUUGUAAGAUGCAUGAUCUCGUUCGAGAUAUGUGUUUGAGAGAAGCCCAAUAUGAGAAUUUUAUACACUUCAAAACGAGGUAUUACCAAGAUGAUCUUCUAGAAAACAUUAAUUGUCUACGUCGUAUAGUUGAUUUCCAUAAGUAUACAGACAGUGGACUUUCUAAACUUAUGCCACUCACACGUUCUGUUUUCUUCAAAUAUCCAUACUUUUUUUGUUUCCUCUCACAGUCAAGCUUUAGAUUACUUAGGAUAUUAGAUGUUUGCUUUACUUCUUCUUUGUUCUGUGGUCAGUCCAUAUCAGAACUUGUUCAUUUGAGGUAUCUUGCUUGUCCGUCCUUCAAUGGUCUUAUGCAAUCACUAUGCAAGAUACGGAAUAUACAGAACUUAGUUAUUCAUGAUUUAUGUCCAUCUGGUUUAAGUAUGCGAACCCAGUUCCUACCAUGGGAAGUUGUGAAUAUGCCUCAACUAAGACAUAUCCAUACAAAAAAGUUUAGUCUUUUCAUACCCCCACCUACAUCACUAAUUGCUAAGAGGGAGAAUCAUUUACAAACGUUAACCGGAUUGAUGCCCUCAUCUUGUAAUGAAGAGGUGUUUCUAAGAAUUCCAAAUUUGAAGAAGUUGGGAAUAUUAAUUGUUGAUGAUUCAGACACUAUUCAGAAGUGUUAUUGUCUUGAUAAUCUUGUACAUUUAUCUCAGCUUGAGAAGCUCAAAGUUCAGUUCAGAGAGAGUUAUAUGCUAAUUUUCAGGUGGAUGAGCGAAGAUUGGAUGGACCUUUCUUCGCUACACAUUCCACAUUGUGACAAUUUCCCACCAAACCUUAAGAAGUUAACAUUGUGCAGAACACACAUACAAUGGGAAGACAUGAACAUUCUUAGAAAAUUACCUAAUCUUGAGGUGCUCAAACUUAAACAUCAUGCCUUUCUCGGACUAAUUUGGAAACUAAGCGAUGAAGAUGAAGAUGGAUUCUUGAAGCUAAAGUUUUUACUUCUUGAGAACAUGAAUCUGAUGCAAUGGGAAGCAACAAGUUAUCAUUUCCCAAACCUUGAGCACUUGGUUCUAACAGAUUGCUAUUUGUUGGAGCAAAUGCCUUUUGACUUUGCAGAGAUUCAGACACUACAGCUGAUUGAACUACACAAAUGUAAGUGUUCUGUUCUUGUUUCAGCAGAGCAAAUACAAGAGGAGCAACAAAGCUUGGGAAAUGAUGACCUCGUUAUUCAUGUGAACUAUAUACGUGAGUAAACAUUAAUCAAAAAAGGUAUACAUUUCUUAAAAGCAUAAAGAUUUUACUUGCUUCUUUUGUUUACAAUAAUGUUUUAUCAUUUUGAAUAUGUUGACUUUUAGUCAAUUUUAUUUUUUCUUUAGUUCAAAACAAUAUAAUAAAAGAGUUUAUGAUGAUUCCUUGAUUGCAUACCAUUUUUAUGUUCGAGCAUGGACAAAUGUAUCUCAAGAAUUUGACACUAGAGAAAUUUUUCUUGGUAUUCUUCGCUCCAUUGGCGUGGUCAACGAUGAAGUAGAAAGAAACAGUACUAAUGAGCAAUUGGCUGAAAGAGUUUAUCGAAGUUUAAAAGGGAGGAAGUAUCUCAUUAUCCUAGAUGAUAUGUGGUCCAUCGAGGCUUGGAAGCAUGUGAGGAGACUAUUUCCGGAUGAUCAUAAUGGAAGUCGAAUCGUGUUAACCACGAGGCUUGUAGAUGUUGCAUCUUGUGCUUGCUCUGGCAAUUCCCUUCACCAGAUGCGCUUUCUGAGUGUGGCGGAAAGCUGGACUGUAACAUCCGGCAAUUUGAAAUAACUAUGAAGAAGCUUGGAAUUGGAAAUAGUCAUUUUUGGAAAGACUUUUAAAAAAAUCUGGAAAAUUUGGUUGUUAAGUAUGGGUAAAAGGUGAGUUUUUGGCCAACUUUGAACAGUCAUAACGUCUAGCUCAAGAUGAGUUAGGUGUAGUUCCAGUUAUGUUUACAAAGCUCGUGGAAUGAUCUUUCCAACGCCAUCGAGUUUUCUCGAUUCUGAGUUCGUAUGAGUGAGUUAUGCCCUUUGGAAAUUGGGCAGUUGGCAGGGAAGUCCGUCCGGAAAUUUUAAGGGUAUUUUGGUCUUUUCCCUAACCAAUUCUUUUGGAUAUAUUAAGGUGUUAGACUGAUUUUAGAUCAGUUUUUCCCUUUUUGAAAGAGUGAGAGUGAGGGUUUGUGAGUAAAGAGGAAAAGAAGGGGAGAAAGAGAAGAUCAAGCAAGGUUUCGUCAAAGAUCGUCGUGGAUAUUGUCGGGGGUGAUCCCUACUAGGUAUGUGAGAUCAUAGUGUUUGGUUGGUUCAUUCCCCCACACGCCAAAUUCGUUUUAAUAUCCGAGAAAAGAUUUGGUUGUGUUUAUUGAAGUCUUGUGGUUGUGGUUGGUGAGGUUGUGGUUGUGUUAUUGAAGUUCUUGUGGAUUUGAGACAUGUUUUAGGUUGUGUUUUCGAGUUGAAUCUAUUGUGUAUUAAGGGGUUUUAAUGAUCCCAAGUGUUUGGGGAAGGAACCUUUGAAGUUAAGAGGGUUUAGAGUUGGUAACAUGAAGGAGAAAAGUCGGGCAGCUUGCAUGAAACAAGUCUGCGUCGCAGACUUGUUCCCUCUGUGAACAAAUCUGCUCCGCGUCGCGGACAGGACGCGGACUUCACUGUUUCAAAAAUUUAAUUUCGUAAUUUUUCUUAAGUUUAGCUGUCCUAAAUCAUUCCUAAACAUCAUGAGGUCUUUCCAAACACAAAUCAUGAAUCCUUGAAUCCAUAAUUCAAUUCAAGAAAGUUAGGAUCAAAGUCAAGUGAAGUUAAGAGUCAAGUCUAAAAGUUAAGAAGCAAGUCUUUAAAGCUUUUCAAGAGUCUUUAUUAAACGUUUUAACUUCGUUUUAAGGCUCAAGUUUCAAGUUAAGUAAAGUGUAUAGAGUUUCAAGUUAAGUAAAGAGUAUAGAGUGUCAAGUCAAGUAAAGAGUAAGAACAAUGUAGCCAAACAUGGGACUUAACGGGUUAUUCUUUUUAGAUGAUCACGUAAGAUUAAGCUAGUGGAUUCACUAAGUAAAGUAAGGUCCUAUAUCACGGAAAAGUAUAGGAUGGUCCUUGGGCAACGUGAGGUAAAACGUUGUAUCAUCACUAGGGCUCAUAGUGGUGGUUGUCGGUUAAAGAAUCUCCCACAAAAGUUAUAUUAACUUUUAUAUAAGUAAAGUUGAGUUGUUAUUGCUUUAUCCUUAACGAACUAAGUUGUUUACACUGUUUUGCAAGCUUUAUAUAUAUUGCGUGUGUCUUAUUGCUUUAUAUUGAGUUCGGUUAUUCAUGAGUUGAAUAGAGCCAAGGUAAGUGUUCUCUUGUACUCCUUUCAAGCUUAAGUUGUUGUUUAGCUUUCCAGCUCGCAUACUCGUACAUUAAAUGUACUGAUGCCAGUUGACAUGUAUCUUAUUAUGAUGCAGACACAGGUACCCAGGAUCAGCAUUCGGCACACCGUUGAUCCAGCCGAGCACUUCCGAGUCAGUGGUGAGCCUCUUUGCAUUCCGGAGUACUCAGUUAUUUUGUUCUCUUAGUUUGUUUUAUUAGGAUGUUCCGGGGUCUGUCCCAACAUCCAUCUCAGUGUUAUAGAGGCUUCAUAGACAGUCAGUCAGUUAGUAUUGAGUCUCUCAUCUAUGUAUAUAUGUAAAUAUUCUAUUUUGAGACUCGAGUUGCCUUUUUGGGCCAGAUUUUAUCAGUUAAGUUGUUUUAUGUCCUUGCAUUGCAUGGAGUUAUUCUGUUGAGUUAGGUUUCCGCUGAGUUAAGAAAGUCAGGCCAAAGGUUCGCUUGGGGCCAACAAUGGUCUUCGAGUGCCAGCCAUGUCCAGGGUAUAGGCUCGGGGCAUGGCAAUCUUUUACGCGAUAAGGUCUUUGGGAACGGUAGGUACCCUCCGGAAUUGGAGAAAAUUGGGAGGUACAUUGGCCACCAGUGUCAAGGGUUGCCACUUGCAAUUGUUGCAAUUGGUGGACUACUUUCCAAGAUGAGCAAGGAAACAAGUUCUUGGGAGAACGUUGCAGAAAAGGUAGGAUCACUUAUGACCAGUGACACUAUGGAUUGCUUGAACAUACUUUCUUUGAGCUACAACCACUUGCCUCAGUACUUGAAAACAAACAUGCUUCCUUUAUAUGGGAGUUUUUGCAGAAACUCAUGAGAUUCCGGUCUGGAAGUUAAUAAAGUUAUGGAUUGCUGAGGGAUUCGUCAAGAAAGUUUAUCAUAAAAAUCUUGAAGAUGUGGCAGAGGAAAAUUUGAGGGAGUUAGUUGAUAGAAGUUUGGUUUUGGUGGGGAAGCAUAGCUCCCUAGGUUUUAUCAAGACUUGUAAAAUGCAUGAUCUCGUUCGAGAUAUGUGUUUGAGAGAAGCCCAAUAUGAGAAUUUUAUUCACUUCAAAACAAGGUAUGACAACGAUGAUCUUCUAGAAAACUUUAAUUGUCUACGUCGUGUAGUUGAUUUCAAUAAAUAUGGAUACAGUGAAAUUCCUAAACUUAUGCCACUCACACGUUCUGUUUUCUUCAAAUAUCCACACUUUUUUUGUUUCCUCUCACAGUCAAGCUUUAGAUUACUUAGGAUAUUAGAUGUUUGCUUUACAUCUUUUUUGUACUGUAGUCAAUCCAUAUCAGAACUUGUUCAUUUGAAGUAUCUUGCUUGUCCGUCCUUUGAUGGUCUUGUGCAAUCAGUAUGUAAGCUACGGAAUAUACAGAACUUAGUUAUUCAUGAUUUAAAUUUAUCUGGUUUACAUAUGAGAACCCAGUCCCUACCAUGGGAAGUUGUGAAUAUGCCUCAACUAAGACAUAUCCAUACAAAAAAGUUCAGUCUUUUCAUACCCCCACCUACAUCACUAAUUGCUGAGAGGGAGAAUCACUUGCAAACGUUAACCGGAUUGGAGCCCUCAUCUUGUAACGAUGAGGUGUUUCUAAGAAUUCCAAAUUUGAAGAAGUUGGGAAUAUUAAUUGUUGAUUCAGACACUAUUAGGAAGUGUUAUUGUCUUGAUAAUCUUGUACAUUUAACUCAGCUUGAGAAGCUCAAAGUUGAGUUCAGCGAGAGUUAUCUGCUAAUUUUUAGGCGGAUUAGCGAAGGUUGGGUGGACCUUUCUUGGCUACACAUUCCACAUUGUGACAAUUUCCCACCAAACCUUAAGAAGUUAACAUUGUGCGGAACUUACCUACAAUGGGAAGACAUGAACAUUCUCAAAAAAUUACCUAAUCUUGAGGUGCUCAAACUUAAACAUCAUGCCUUUCACGGACUAAUUUGGAAACUAAGCGAUGAAGAUGAAGAUGGAUUCUUUCAGUUAAAGUUUUUACUUCUUGAGAGCUUGCAUCUGAAGCAAUGGGAAGCAACAAGUUAUCAUUUUCCAAGCCUUGAGCACUUAGUCCUAACAGAUUGCUAUUCAUUGGAGCAAAUUCCUUUCGACUUUGCAGAGAUUCAAACACUACAGCUGAUUGAACUACACAAAUGCAUGCUUUCUGUUCUUGAUUUAGCAGAGCAAAUACAAGAGGAGCAACAAAGUUUGGGAAAUGAUGACCUUGUUAUUCGUGUGAACUAUAUACGUGAGUAACAUUAAUAAAAAAGGUAUACAUUUUUUAAAAGCAUAAAGAUUUUUUUUCCUGAAUUUUUCUUACAUAGCUCUUAUCUUGGAUAACUUUUUCUAUCUUAUAAAAGUUAGUGUGCAGUACAAAAUAUUAAUUUGAUUAGCUAGAUUCUUUCGAAAUCUGAAAUUGAUUCUUAUAUUCAUCAUUUUUAUUUAUUUAUACUAUAAAAGGUGCUAAUUACAAUAGGUUUUGUGCAUUGCAGACAAAAAACUUAGUUGAUGGAGAGUGCCAUAAGAUAUACUCAAGCAUAAAUAAGUUGAUCACUCUUUGCAGUAGUUGAUCUUACCUUUCAGUGUAUUUCGAUUUCCUUUUUCCAGUUCAACUUGUUUGGGACUGAGGCUUAGUUUAGUGAAUUGUAUAUCUAGAUAUAAUUCAAAUAUAAUGCAUUUACUUUGGAAUGUGUAUGUAUUUGAACGUACUUCUCUUAGUUGCUUGUACCACCAUGUUGAAUCAAUAUAUUUAUUUGCAGGCAUUGUCCAAAAACAGGCACCUUGUUAUUAUAGUUAAAGUUAGCAAGCAUUUUCCUUCCAAGGAUCAAGUUCAAUUAUUCUGAGCAUGUUCAAUGGAUAACAGGGAUGGAAUAGAGGUUGAAUGGUAGGAGACAGUAUGCUUAGAGAGAAAGAAGGGUGUGAACUUUUUGUACGUCAUUUGCCUACUUUUUUUGAAACAUUCCCAGUCGUUUUGGUAGAUGAUGAUUGAAUUGUUAGACCCGAUGUUCCUUUUAUUAGGUGAGAAUCAGAGUUUAGUGUUGAACACGUAGGUGUAAUCAUUGAGUUCUACUGCUGUGAAGUGGGUGAAAUUUUCGAAUUAUAUCGUGCUACUUUGAAAACCUAUGGUGUUUCUUCAUAGCAGUCAAAAGGGUUGAUUUACUUUUGGCCUUUGGGCAUGCUUCGUUUGCUUUGCUCUUCUUCUUCAGACACAUUUGGCAUGACACUAGAACCUUGUUUGUGUUUUUUCUUAGGGUUGAUUUAUCAGAUAAUCACUCCAUUAAUAGUUAUUAUCUCAAAAAGUCACAAUUCUUCUUUUUUCCAAAUUUUUUUCUACAAAGAAAGUGACUUUCUGAGAUAAUAACUAUUAAUCGAGUGACCAUAUGAGAAAUCAACUCGUUUUUCUUUUAAGAAAUAUUCUUGUUGGUUCACUCAAUGAUGCCUUUUUAUCUUUUAUCAUCUUGCUAAUGGGACAUUGGACAAGUCUUUAAUUUAGACAAUCUUGUAGUUAGUUGCUAUGAAGUUUCAAAUUCCAUAGCAGAAACUCCAGUAUAUUGUCAUGGAGUAAAACUUGUAAAAACAACAACAUACCUAGUGUAGUAUCAUAAGUGAAGUCUAGGGAGGAUAAGAUGUACACAGACCAUAUCCCUACCUUUGUAGUGUAGAGACGGAGUUUGUUUCCGAUAGGCCCUCGACUCAACAAUAAAGAAAAGAACUUGAAGCAUGGUAGCAAGAAAAUAUGACAGAAAAAAAAGUAAGAUACAGAUCAAAUGAAGCAACAAAUAGUAAUACACAUCGAAGAAAAAGAAACAAAGUGCAACAAUACUUGGCUACCUACUAACCUUCUAAUCUAAUCCUCAACUUUCACUCCUUCCUAUCUAGGGUCAUAUCCGAAAUAAAACUUGUAGAUUUUGAAAUUACAUGACUAUAGUUAUUUUUCGAAGAUAUGUCCGAAAAGCGGCUCUCUAGUAUGAAUGUAGUUUGGGCAAGUUGUAUGACUUUGGGUGUCUGACAAACUAUUCCAACUUGCUUUUUGGUACAAGUCUUAAAUACAAUUUGAGUCUCAAUCUGACAAAUAAUUCAAUGAGCAAAACAAGAAUUCUCACUUCUACCUUCCACCAACCCCACCAUUACUCUCUUGGAGAGAAACAGACACAAAGAGAAGACUUCUCUUUACAAAGCCUUAAAAGUCUUGCAUUCCCAUCCAUUACAUUGCCUUCUUCUUUCAUAAAGAAUUGGUUUUGAGAAUCUAAAUCAACAACUCAGAACUUCCUCCUACUGUCCUGUUUAGCAAGAAACUAACAAACAGCGAUAUGGCGGCGUAUGCUGCUGUGAAUUCACUUUUGCAUACGCUGGAUAAUCUAUCUCAAACUCAUACAUCACAUUCUCUUCUUUACAAAAAAAAGCAAACUGAAGUCCUCAGUGACAAGUACACCUUCCUUAAAACCUUUCUUGAGGAUUUUACUAAUAUUUUCCAUGAAGAUGUAAAGAUGAAGCAUCUCGAAAGGAUAAUCCAAGAAGCUGCUAAUGGAGUGGAAGAUACUAUUGACUCACAUGUAUAUGAUAGCUCUGCCUUAGUACAAAGCAAGCGAGUACGAAGAAAGGCUUAUACGAUCUUUCAUCAAAACUUGGAAUAUGCAAUUGAGGAAAUUGGUUUGAUACAAAAAGAGGUUAUGAAAAAGAUAAAGGUCAACAAGUUCAACAGCAAAAUCUCUCAUUCAAGAGAUACUUCAUCUCAGAUCCCUAUGGAUCAAAAAGAUGUAAUCAUUGGACUGGAUGAAGACUUGCUAAAGAUAAAAGAUCGACUCAUCGUGCAAUCAUCAAGACUCGAAGUUGUCCCCAUUAUAGGGAUGGGUGGUAUUGGCAAGACCACACUGGCUAGAAGAGUUUAUGAUGAUUCCUUGAUUGCAUACCAUUUUUAUGUNNNNNNNNNNNNNNNNNNNNNNNNNNNNNNNNNNNNNNNNNNNNNNNNNNNNNNNNNNNNNNNNNNNNNNNNNNNNNNNNNNNNNNNNNNNNNNNNNNNNNNNNNNNNNNNNNNNNNNNNNNNNNNNNNNNNNNNNNNNNNNNNNNNNNNNNNNNNNNNNNNNNNNNNNNNNAAAGAAACAGUACUACUGAGCAAUUGGCUGAAAGAGUUUAUCGAAAUUUAAAAGGGAGGAAGUAUCUUAUUGUCCUAGAUGAUAUGUGGUCUAUCAAGGCUUGGCAGCAUGUGAGGAGAUCAUUUCCAGAUGAUCGUAAUGGAAGUCGAAUCGUGUUGACCACAAGGCUUGUAGAUGUUGCAUCUUGUGUUUGCUCUGGCAAUUCCCUUCACCAGAUGCGUUUUCUGAGCAUGGAGGAAAGCUGGGAUCUUUUAAGCGGUAAGGUCUUUGGGAAUGGUAGUUACCCUCCGGACAAAAUCUCACAUUCAAGAGAUACUUCCUCACUGCUCCCUUUGUAUCAAAAAGAUAUAAUCGUUGGACUGGAUGAAGACUUGCUGAAGAUAAAAGAACGACUCACCGUGCAAUCGUCAAGACUCGAAGUUGUCCCCAUUAUAGGGAUGGGUGGUAUUGGCAAGACCACACUGGCUAGAAGAGUUUAUGAUGAUUCCUUGAUUGCAUACCAUUUUUAUGUCCGAGCAUGGGCAAAUGUAUCUCAAGAAUUUGACACUAGAGAAAUUUUUCUUGGUAUUCUUCGCUCCAUUGGCAUGGUCAACGAUGAAGAAGAAAGAAACAGUACUACUGAGCAAUUGGCUGAAAGAGNNNNNNNNNNNNNNGUCAACGAUGAAGUAGAAAGAAACAGUACUAAUGAGCAAUUGGCUGAAAGAGUUUAUCGAAGUUUAAAAGGGAUGAAGUAUCUUAUUGUCCUAGAUGAUAUGUGGUCCAUCAAGGCUUGGCAGCAUGUGAGGAGAUCAUUUCCAGAUGAUCGUAAUGGAAGUCGAAUCGUGUUGACCACAAGGCUUGUAGAUGUUGCAUCUUGUGUUUGCUCUGGCAAUUCCCUUCACCAGAUGCGUUUUCUGAGCAUGGAGGAAAGCUGGGAUCUUUUAAGCGGUAAGGUCUUUGGGAAUGGUAGUUACCCUCCGGAAUUGGAGAAAAUUGGGAGGUACAUUGGCCAUCAGUGUCAAGGGUUGCCACUUGCAGUUGUUGCAAUUGGUGGACUACUUUCCAAGAUGAGCAAGGAAACAAGUUCUUGGGAGAAUGUUGCAGAAAAGGUAGGAUCACUUAUGACAAGUGACACUAUGGAUUGCUUGAACAUACUUUCUUUGAGCUACAACCACUUGCCUCAGUACUUGAAAACAUGCUUCCUUUAUAUGGGAGUUUUUGCAGAAACUCGUGAGAUCCCGGUCUGGAAGUUAAUAAAGUUAUGGAUUGCUGAGGGCUUCGUCAAGAAAGUUAAUCAUAAAAAUCUAGAAGAUGUGGCAGAGGAAAAUUUGAGGGAGUUGGUUGAUAGAAGUUUGGUUUGGUGGGAAGCAUACUUCACUAGGAAAAAUCAAGACUUGUAAGAUGCAUGAUCUCGUUCGAGAUAUGUGUUUGAGAGAAGCCCAAUAUGAGAAUUUUAUACACUUCGAAACAAGGUAUAACCAUGAUGAUCUUCUAGAAAACAUUAAUUGUCUACGCCGUGUAGUUGAUUUCAAUAAGUAUAGAUACAGUUUUGAUAUUCCUAAACUUAUGCCACUCACACGUUCUCUUUUCUUGAAAUAUCCAUACUCUGUUUGUUCCCUCUCACAGUCAAGCUUUAGAUUACUUAGGAUAUUAGAUGUUUGCUUUACAUCUCGUUUGUACCGUAGUAUGUCCAUAACAGAACUUGUUCAUUUGAGGUAUCUUGCUUGUCCAUCCUUCAAUGGUCUUGUGCAAUCACUAUGCAAGCUACGGAAUAUACAGAACUUAGUUAUUCAGGAUUUACGUUCAUCUGGUUUACGUAGGAGAACCCAGUUCCUACCAUGGGAAGUUGUGAAUAUGCCUAAACUAAGACAUAUCCAUACAAAAAAGUUUAGUCUUUUCAUACCCCCUACAUCACUAAUUGCUGAGAGGGAGAAUCAUUUACAAACGUUAACCGGAUUGAUGCCCUCAUCUUGUAAUGAAGAGGUGUUUCUAAGAAUUCCAAAUUUGAAGAAGUUGGGAAUUUUAAUUGUUGAUGAUUCAGACACUAUUCAGAAGUGUUAUUGCCUUGAUAAUCUUGUACAUUUAACUCAGCUUGAGAAGCUCAAAGUUGAGGUCAGAGAGAGUUGGCUAAUUUUUAGGCCGACUAUCAAAGGUUGGGUGGACAUUCCACAUUGUGACAAUUUCCCACCAAACCUUAAGAAGUUAACAUUGUGCACAACACACCUAGAAUGGGAAGACAUGAACAUUCUUAGUAAGUUACCUAACCUUGAGGUGCUCAAACUUAAAGAUCAUGCCUUUCGCGGACAUAUUUGGAAACUAAGCGAUGAAGACGCAGAUGGAUUCUUGAAGCUAAAGUUUUUACUUCUUGAGCACAUGCAUCUGGAGCAAUGGGAAGCAACAAGUUAUCAUUUCCCAAGCCUUGAGCACUUAGUCCUAACACAUUGCCAUUCGUUGGAGCAAAUUCCUUUCGACUUUGCGGAGAUUCAGACACUACAGCUGAUUGAACUACACAAUUGUAUGCGUUCUGUUCUUGUUUCAGCAGAGCAAAUACAAGAGGAGCAACAAAGCUUUGGAAAUGAUGACCUCAUUAUUCGUGUGAACUCUAUCUAUACUAGAGUAAACAUUAAUAAAAAAGGUAUACACUUUUUUUAAAAGCAUAAAAAAAUUUGAUUAGCUAGAUUCCUUCGAAAUCUGAAAAUGAUUUUUAUAUUCAUCAUUUUCACUUAUUUAUACUAUAAAAGGUGCUAAUUACAAUUUGUUAAAUAACUCAAUAAUAUGGAGCCCAAAUGUAAUUUUCUAACUUUGUUUCUUCUUGUAUUUCUUUCCACAUAAAUAUUGAACUUUCAACUUCACACAUAAAAUCAAUGUUAAAUUUGUCUUACNNNNNNNNNNNNNNNNNNNNNNNNNNNNNNNNNNNNNNNNNNNNNNNNNNNNNNNNNNNNNNNNNNNNNNNNNNNNNNNNNNNNNNNNNNNNNNNNNNNNAAAAAAAAAAAAAAAUCCCCCCUUUUCCUGUUUCAGUUUAAAGUUCAAAUCUUUUUACUGAUAAUCAUUUUCUUUUUUUGCAGAGUUAUGGAGAGCAACACUUGUGAGGUUCUUGAUUGCAAGAGUAACUUCUUUUCCCCCAUAGUAAAGUUUCCUCUUUUUUUAUUUCUCAAUACAUUGCAUUUUUGUUAUUGUUAUUGUUGUUGUUGUUGUUGUGGGUUAGUACAUAAAUGUUGAUCUUGUUUGUGCUUAAUUAGUAUUUCAGAAAGUCACGCUUCUUCUUGAUUCCGAUUUUUUCGACAAAGAAAGUGACCUGAUAAAAAUAAUGUAACUAUUAGUUGAAUGACCAUUUUAGAUAGUGACAUUCCAAUUUUUUUCGACAAAGAAAGUGACGUUACCUAAUCAUAGUUAUUUUUUAAAGAUAUGACCAAAAAGUGGCUCAUUACAGUAUGAAUGUAGUUUUGGGCAAGUUGUAUGACUUUGGGCCUGAUUUGAACAAACUAUUCCAAUUUGCCUCUUGGUACAAGUCUUAAUUACCAUUGACUUCAAUCAAAAUAAUUCAGAAUUCUCUAUUCUAACCAUCCACCAACCCCACAAAGAGAAACAGACACAAAGAGAAGACUUAUCUUUACAUAGCCUAAAAGUCUAGCAUUCCCAUCCAUUACAUUGCCUUCUUCUUUCAUAAAGAAUUGGUUUUGAGCAUCUAAAUCAACAACUCAGAACUUCCUAGUCUUCCACAUACCUCUUACUGUCCUGUUUAGUAAGAAACUAACAAACAGCGAUAUGGCGGCGUAUGCUGCUGUGACUUCACUUCUGCAAACCCUGGAUCAUUUAUCUCAAACUCAUACAUCACAUUCUCUUCUUUACAAAAAAGAGCAGACUGAAGUCCUCAGUGAGAAGUACACCUUCCUUAAAACCUUUCUUGAGGAUUUUACUAAUAUUUUCAAUGAAGAUAUAAAGAUGAAGCAUCUGGAAAGGAUGAUCCAAGAAGCUGCUAAUGGAGUGGAAGAUACCAUCGACUCACAUGCAUAUGAUAGCUCUGUCGUAGUACAAAGCAAGCGAGUACGAAGAAAGGCUGAUAUGAUCUUUCAUCAAAACUUGGAAUAUGCAAUUGAGGAAAUUGGUUUGAUACAAAGAGAGGUAAUGAAAAAGAUAAAGGUCAGCAGUUUUAACAGAAAAAUCUCACAUUCAAGAGAUACUUCNNNNNNNNNNNNNNNNNNNNNNNNNNNNNNNNNNNNNNNNNNNNNNNNNNNNNNNNNNNNNNNNNNNNNNNNNNNNNNNNNNNNNNNNNNNNNNNNNNNNNNNNNNNNNNNNNNNNNNNNNNNNNNNNNNNNNNNNNNNNNNNNNNNNNNNNNNNNNNNNNNNNNNNNNNNNNNNNNNNNNNNNNNNNNNNNNNNNNNNNNNNNNNNNNNNNNNNNNNNNNNNNNNNNNNNNNNNNNNNNNNNNNNNNNNNNNNNNNNNNNNNNNNNNNNNNNNNNNNNNNNNNNNNNNNNNNNNNNNNNNNNNNNNNNNNNNNNNNNNNNNNNNNNNNNNNNNNNNNNNNNNNNNNNNNNNNNNNNNNNNNNNNNNNNNNNNNNNNNNNNNNNNNNNNNNNNNNNNNNNNNNNNNNNNNNNNNNNNNNNNGUAGAUGUUGCAUCUUGUGCUUGCUCUGGCAAUUCCCUUCACCAGAUGCGUUUUCUGAGCAUGGAGGAAAGCUGGACUCUUUUACGCGAUAAGGUUUUUGGGAAUGGUGGUUACCCUCCGGAAUUGGAGAAAAUUGGGAGGUACAUUGGCCAUCAGUGUCAAGGGUUGCCACUUGCAGUUGUUGCAAUUGGUGGACUACUUUCCAAGAUGAGCAAGGAAACAAGUUCUUGGGAGAAUGUUGCAGAAAAGGUAGGAUCACUUAUGACCAGCGACACUAUGGAUUGCUUGAACAUACUUUCGUUGAGCUACAACCACUUGCCUCAGUACUUGAAAACAUGCUUCCUUUAUAUGGGAGUUUUUGCAGAAACUCGUGAGAUUCCAGUCUGGAAGUUAAUAAAAUUAUGGAUUGCUGAGGGCUUCGUCAAGAGAGUUAAUCAUAAAAAUCUAGAAGAUGUGGCAGAGGAAAAUUUGAGGGAGUUGGUUGAUAGAAGUUUGGUUUUGGUGGGGAAGCAUACUUCCCUAGGAAAAAUCAAGACUUGUAAGAUGCAUGAUCUCGUUCGAGAUAUGUGUUUGAGAGAAGUCCAAUAUGAGAAUUUUAUACACUUCAAAACGAGGUAUGACUAUGAUGAUCUUCUAGAAAACAUUAGUUGUCUACGUCGUGUAGCUGAUUUCCAUAAGUAUACACACAGUGGACUUUCUAAACUUAUGCCACUCACACGUUCUGUUUUCUUCAAAUAUCCAUACUUUUUUUGUUACCUCUCACAGUCGAGCUUUAGAUUACUGAGGAUAUUAGAUGUUUGCUUUACAUGUUUUUUCUCCUGUAGUCAGUCCGUAUCAGAACUUGUUCAUUUGAGGUAUAUUGCUUGUCCGUCCUUCAAUGGUCUUGUGCAAUCACUAUGCAAGCUACGGAAUAUACAGAACUUAGUUAUUCAUGAUUCACAUCCAUUUGGUUCAAGUAUGAGAACCCAGUCCCUACCAUGGGAAGUUGUGAAUAUGCCUCAACUAAAACAUAUCCAUACAAAAAAGUUGAGUCUUUUCAUAUCCCCACCUACAUCAGUAUUAAUUUCUGAGAGGGAGAAUCACUUACAAACGUUAACCGGAUUGAUGCCCUCAUCUUGUAACGAUGAGGUGUUUCUACGAAUUCCAAAUUUGAAGAAGUUGGGAAUUUUAAUUGUUGAUGAAUCAGACACUAUUCAGAAGUGUUAUUGUCUUGAUAAUCUUGUACAUUUAACUCAGCUUGAGAAGCUCAAAGUUGAGGUCAGCGAGAGUUAUCUGCUAAUUUUUAUGCGGAUUAGCGAAGGUUGGGUGGACAUUCCACAUUGUGACAAUUUCCCACCAAACCUUAAGAAGUUAACAUUGUGCAGAACGCACCUACAAUGGGAAGACAUGAACAUUCUCAGUAAGUUACCUAAUCUUGAGGUGCUCAAACUUAAACAUCAUGCCUUUCACGGACUAAUUUGGAAACUAAGCCAUGAAGACGAAGAUGGAUUCUUGAAGCUAAAGUUUUACUCUUGAGCGCAUGAGUCUGAAGCAAUGGGAAGCAACAAGUUAUCAUUUUCCAAGCCUUGAGCACUUAGUCCUAACAAAUUGCCGGUACUUGGAAAAAAUUCCUUUCGACUUUGCGGAGAUUCAGACAC
rnacentral:lncRNA from 1 species